AGAGUCCCACCCGGCUAAGGCUAGCCACCAGCCGGUAGCGAGUGUUGCGUGGUGUCGGGCAACCGCCACUGCGAAGCGUACACAGCGAGUGAGCAGGCCGUGUGAUUGAGCACCGAAAUGACUAAUACCGUGGUCGCCGACAGUGUUAACUGACUGGAAGGCAAUACCGAAUCAUCGUUGAGGCUGGGUGAGACGGGGCCGCCGGUGUCAAAGAGCA
rnacentral:ncRNA from 1 species